GACGAACGCUGGCGGCGUGCUUAACACAUGCAAGUCGAGCGGUAAGGCCCUUUCGGGGGUACACGAGCGGCGAACGGGUGAGUAACACGUGGGUGACCUGCCCUCAGCUCUGGGAUAAGCCUGGGAAACCGGGUCUAAUACUGGAUAUGACUCCAUGACGCAUGUUGUGGGGUGGAAAGCCUUGUGCGGCUGAGGAUGGGCCCGCGGCCCAUCAGCUUGUUGGUGGGGUGAUGGCCUACCAAGGCGACGACGGGUAGCCGGCCUGAGAGGGCGACCGGCCACACUGGGACUGAGACACGGCCCAGACUCCUACGGGAGGCAGCAGUGGGGAAUCUUGCGCAAUGGGCGAAAGCCUGACGCAGCGACGCCGCGUGAGGGAUGACGGCCU
rnacentral:rRNA from 1 species